rnacentral:rRNA from 1 species
CCAAUAGCGUAUAUUAAAGUUGUUGCAGUUAAAAAGCUCGUAGUUGAAUUUCGGGGUCAGUAGGUUGGUCAUGCCACUGGUAUGUACUGGUCUCACUGAUUCCUCCUUCCUGAUGAACUGUAAUGCCAUUAAUUUGGUGUUGCAGGGAAUCUGGACUGUUACUUUGAAAAAAUUAGAGUGUUUAAAGCAGGCUAACGCCUGAAUACAUUAGCAUGGAAUAAUGAAAUAGGACGUUCGAUCCUAUUUUGUUGGUUUCUAGGAUUGACGUAAUGAUUAAUAGGGAUAGUUGGGGGCAUUAGUAUUCAAUUGUCAGAGGUGAAAUUCUUGGAUUUAUUGAAGACUAACUACUGCGAAAGCAUUUGCCAAGGAUGUUUUCAUUAAUCAAGAACGAAAGUUAGGGGAUCGAAGACGAUCAGAUACCGUCGUAGUCUUAACCAUAAACUAUGCCGACUGGGGAUCGGAUGAUGUUAAUUUUUUAAUGACUCAUUCGGCGCCUUACG